GCUGGGCGUGUUGGCACACACCUGUAAUCCCAGCUACUUGGGAGGCUGAGGCAGGAGAAUUGCUUGAACCCAGGAGGCGGAGGUUGCAGUGAGCUGAGAUCAAGCCACUGCACUCCAGCCUGGGUGACAGAGCAAGACUCCAUCUCUA
ensembl:misc_RNA Metazoa_SRP Metazoan signal recognition particle RNA